rnacentral:rRNA from 1 species
AACAAACGCUGGCGGCGUGCCUAAUACAUGCAAGUCGAACGGGGAAAGCUUUCGGGCGAGUACUAGUGGCGCACGGGUGAGUAACACGUGGAUAAUCUGCCUUGGAGUGGGGGAUAACUAGUCGAAAGAUUAGCUAAUACCGCAUAAGACCACAGGAGCUGCGGCUCUAGGGGUCAAAGGUUUUUCGUUCCAAGAUGAGUCCGCGUAAGAUUAGCUAGUUGGUGAGGUAAUGGACCACCAAGGCGACGAUCUUUAACUGGUCUGAGAGGAUGAUCAGUCACACUGGAACUGAGACACGGUCCAGACUCCUACGGGAGGCAGCAGUAGGGAAUAUUGCACAAUGGAGGAAACUCUGAUGCAGCGACGCCGCGUGAGUGAUGAAGGCCUUCGGGUCGUAAAGCUCUGUCGCAGGGGAAUAACACAAUGAAGGUACCCUGCAAGAAAGGAUCGGCUAACUUCGUGCCAGCAGCCGCAGUAAGAC